ensembl:lncRNA
GGCCCAAAGUGUUAUGGUCAAUGGAGUUAAAUUCAGUUGGCGGCCCAUCACAAGUGGUAUCCCCCAGGACUUGGUACUGGCACUGCUUCUAUUUAACAUCUUUUUUAACAAUCUUGAUGAGGGAUUGAGUGCACCCUCAGUAAGUUUGCAGACAACACCAAUUUGGAAGGGAGUGUUGAUCUGCCAGAGGGGAGAAGGGCACUACAGAGGGACCUGGAUAGGCUGGAUCGAUGGGCCAAGGUUAGCUGCAUGAGUUUCAAUAGGGCCAAGUGCCGGGUCCUGCAUUUUGGUCACAACAACCCCAGGAAACCCUACAGGCUUGGGGAGGAGUGGCUGGAAAGCUGCCUGAUGGAAAAGGAUCAUGAUGUCCUGGUGGACAGUCAACUGAAUAUGAGCCAGCAGUGUGCCCAGGUGGCCAAGAAGGCCAAUGGCAUCCUGGCUUGUAUCAGGAAUGGUGUAGUGAGCAGGACUAGGGAAGUCAUCCUGCCCCUGUACUCAGCACUGGUGAGGUCCUACCUUGAGUACUGUGUUCAGUUUGGGGUAUUUCAAUACAGAAAGGACAUGGAGGUGCUGGAGCAGGUCCAGAGAAGGGCAACAAGGCUUGUGAAGGGCUUGGAAAAUCAGCCCUAUGAGGAGAGACUGAGGGAGCUGGGGCUGUUUAGUCUGGGGAAGAGGAGGCUGAGAGGAGACGUUAUUGCUCUCUUCCAGUACCUGAAAGGUGCUUACAGUGAGAGCAGGGUAGGUCUCUUCUCACUGGUGACAGGUGACAAGACGAGGGGAAAUGGCCUCAAGUUGCACCAAGGUAAGUUUAGGUUGGACGUUAGGAAACACUUCUUUACAGAAAGGGUGGUUAAGCACUGGAAUAGUCUCCCGAGGGAGGUGGUUGAGUCACCAUCCCUGGAUGUGUUUAAGAGCCGUUUGGAUGUGGUGCUCAGUGAUAUGAUUUAGUGGAGGGUUGUCAGAGUUAGGGUACUAUGGUUAGGCUGUGGUUGGACUUGAUGAUCUUUGAGGUCCUUUCCAACCUGAGUAAUUCUAUGAUUCUAUGAUUCUAGGUAUGGCACAAUUAAUCAUAUGGAUGUGGCUUACUUCAAACUGAGAUUAAAUUUCACAUUAAAUACUAUAAUGAAGCUUAAAUUUGCUGUACAUGACUGAUUUCCAGAUUCCAGCUUUGAUUUCUUUUUUUUUUUUCUUUUUUGUUUUUCUUUCUUAUAUUUACCACAUCAGGCUGUCAAACAGCAGACAAUAGGAAAGUCUGAAAUCACCUCUUUUGCCUUCUUCUGUUUUGCCUCUUCC